CGAACGUAGGGAACCGUGCCCAUGCGGCCGGGACAACUCCGAAACGGAUGCUGAUACCGGAUAAGGAAAGCGAAGGCAUCUUUGCUUUGUUAAAGGAGCUGCAAGGCUCCGCGCAUGGAUGGACCUGCGGUGCAUUAGCUGGUUGGUGAGGUAAAGGCUCACCAAGGCGACGAUGCAUAGCCGGCCUGAGAGGGCGAACGGCCACACUGGGACUGAGACACGGCCCAGACUCCUACGGGAGGCAGCAG
rnacentral:rRNA from 1 species